AUGAGCUCCACAGAUGUCCCAGCUAGCACCGACGGCCUCGCCGGUGAGUCGUGGCAGAAGUCAUGGCCAGAGGUGGUGGGCAAGUCCAUAAAGGAGGCCAGAGAGAUCAUACUCAAAGACAAGCCUGACGCCGACAUCGUCGUGCUGCCAGCCGGGUCGCCGGUGACCCGGGACUUGAGGCCCAACCGCGUGCGCAUCUUUGUCGAUACCGUCGCCGACACACCCUUCACUGGCUAG
rnacentral:rRNA from 1 species